GUUCUUUCCACUUCUGGGGCUGUGACUUGAGUUUCUCCGCAGGAGCAGAUAGUGUUUGUGUAGGGACUGCGGACUUUUGCAUUACAGCCUCCCUGCUUUGCCCGCCUGCUGCUGGAAGCUUAGCAG
rnacentral:misc_RNA from 1 species